rnacentral:rRNA from 1 species
GACGAACGCUGGCGGCGUGCUUAACACAUGCAAGUCGAACGAUGAAGAAAAGAAUUGAAGCUUCGGCAGAAAUUCAUUUCGGAUUAGUGGCAGACGGGUGAGUAACGCGUGAGCAACCUACCUCUUACAAAGGGAUAACCUCGGGAAACCGGGAUUAAUACCAUAUAACAUUGCGACGAAGCAUUUCGAUGCAAUCAAAGCUACGGCGGUAAGAGAUGGGCUCGCGUCCCAUUAACCAGAUGGUGAGGUAACGGCUCACCAUAGUAACGAUGGGUAACCGGCCUGAGAGGGUGAACGGUCACACUGGAACUGAGACACGGUCCAGACUCCUACGGGAGGCAGCAGUGGGGAAUAUUGCACAAUGGAGGGAACUCUGAUGCAGCGACGCCGCGUGAGUGAUGAAGGAAUUCGUUUCGUAAAACUCUGUUCUAUGGGAAGAAAAGGACUGUACCAUAGGAGAAAGCUCCGGCUAAAUACGUG